AUGAAAGACCUGUGGUUCUUCCUCCCCCUGGUGGCAGCUCCCAGAAGGGUCCUGUCCCAGGUGCAGCUGCAGGAGUGGGGCCCAGGACUGGUGAAGCCUUCGGAGGCCCUGUCCCUCACCUGCGCUGUCUCUGGUGACUCCAUCAGCAGUGGUAACUGGUGGAGCUGGGUCCGCCAGUCCCCAGGGAAGGGGCUGGAAUGGAUUGGAUACAUCUAUUAUAGUGGGAGGAGCUACUACAACCCAUCCCUCAAGAGUCGAGUCACCAUGUCAGUAGACACGUCCAAGAACCAGUUCUCCCUGAAGCUGAGCUCUGUGACCGCCGCGGACACGGCCGUGUAUUACUGUGCGACCUCCUCCCCAGCACCUCAGCUGUCUCCAGGGCUCCUCUUUCUUUAUUAUCUGUGGUUCUGCUUCCUCACAUCCUUGUGGCAGGCAAGAAAGGAGGACGACAAGCCUGUUUUCCCCAAGUACAAAGAGCAGAAUAGACUUUCAGUGAAAUUUGGCUGA